GACAGAGGGUGCAAACGUUGUUCGGAAUUACUGGGCGUAAAGCGCGUGUAGGCGGCCAAGCAAGUCGGAUGUGAAAGCCCUCGGCUCAACCGGGGAAGUGCACUCGAAACUGCAUGGCUAGAGUCUCGGAGAGGAUCGUGGAAUUCUCGGUGUAGAGGUGAAAUUCGUAGAUAUCGAGAGGAACACCGGUGGCGAAGGCGGCGAUCUG
rnacentral:rRNA from 1 species